GCUAAGUAUCAGCUUCAGAGCUGGAUCCACUGGACCAGCUGAAGAGAGGAGAAUCUCUUUGACUGAUUCCAACUCACUGUUGAAGCACAACUACUCAUCUCUGACUGGAAUACUUGAGAAAAUCAAACAGAUCAACCAAAAAAAGUUCAUUUUUGUCUUGUUUUCUUUUGUGCAUAGUUUCUUUGUCUACUGCAUCUCCAAAGAGAAGCACUUAGAGAGUACUCAACUUCUUCCAGCAUUGUAUAUCAAAUAGUCACUUCUCUGUCAUACGCAUAUUUUUAUUGUUGAGCAUUUAGGCAGUGACGUGCAUAUUUUUUGAUAAGGGUCUAUCGCACUUCAAGAUUUGGAGCAACUUCACUGAGUAUGAAUGUUAAUGAAAGACCACAUUCCUCUCUUCCUCCAAAGACUGAGUCCUUUAUUCAGAGGGACAUAAUGAUGGAGAUAAUGGCUGGGUCAUCGAUACCACCCUCUCUUCUUUCUAAAGGAAAUGGAAGUUACUUUCCUGUGUCCUGGUGAAUGCAGUUUUGACAACACAUCAGUUAAAAAAACAAUUGGAUGGGAUGAAAAAAGGACCGAACACAUAUCACGUUUCUGGGCUCCUCCUCUGCAGGAUGAUGAUUCUGGGCCUGGAGGCAUUCACAACCAUACGCACUCCUGCCGUUGAUGCCUUCUGAACACACUCCUAUCCAUUCCAACUCUCCUCUUCAAAUCUUUAGGUACACAGUUUUGUAAGGACACAACUGAGAAUGUUUUGUUUAAUUUAAGAGAAUUGUGACUGGGAAGGACUUUGCCAACCUAACCCUGAAAUCUAAUCCUGCUACCUUCUCUGGUGAGCAUUGGAAGCUCAGGCUGAGUCGAGCUGCUCUGUUGGAAGCUAUGCAUUAUUGCCAUGAGAGCCACAGCGGCACACCCCACUCGGCCUCCUGGGGCUUCAGCACGAAAUGCUCUGCAGUCACAUCCACACAAAUGGCUCUGCAUGCAUGUGCAGCCUCAGCUCUUCAGGCUGUGGCUGGAUCCUGUUCUAGUUUGGGUAAGUGCCCUCCUACACUGAGGGAAGAGAUGCAUUUACCCAUCUGGUGAUUUUAUGGCAACAUUAAUUGACCAAAAGUAUAAUUAUGCAUUUGCUAUUAUGCACACGGCAGUCAGUCACAAUUAUUUACCAAGAUGCCUAAGGUGAUUAAAAAAGACAAACUAUGACAUGUGGGAAGUCCUAAGCUGCCACGUCAUCCAAAUGUGCAGAAAACAACACAUUCCUAGUAGGAACUCACAAGUAAAGUUACUCGUGUUUUCACUUACCCAAGAAAGCUACUGACUGAGGGGUUCAUCAGUACUGCUUUCAGGGAGUGCAAAAACAUGGGAAUAGUCACAGUGAAUUAGUCUGGAAAGUGGGGAAGCACACUGCAACACGUUCUGGAGUAUUUUCCCAUCUGAGUUAACAAGGCUGGGUGUGGAAUAUGGCAGAAUAUGGAAUAUGGAGCCCUCACCUUUGUCACAAGGGGUCUCUCAUGUAAGGAGUUGCGUUGGACUUUUUCUUCCCUAGAUCACUUUCGAACUCUGGAUUGAAUACAAACAUUAGUUGUCUAUCAUUGAAAAGCACGUAUCAAGCCUGAAGAAACUCCUGAAACCUUCAAAGCUAACAACUCUGAUGAGAGAGGUGCUUUUUACAAUGCCAGCAGCCAGAGUGAACUCUUCCUUUCAUCCCAUCUGCUUCCUCUGGACACUUCCCAUCCCUGCUAAAAACAUUCUGCAAAUUUCAGUGGUGCUGUAGCUCUACAGCAGGAAACAGCUGGUAUUGGUGUCCUGCAAGCAAGGACAGAGCACAAGAUGGAACUCUGAUCCCAGCACUGCAACUCUUAUGAAUGAGCACAUUCUGUGUCAUCAGGUUAUUACACAGUGAACUCUACCUAAAAACAGUAGCAUGGCCAUCAGGGGAGGCAGAGUCCUGCCAUGAAACAAUGCUGACCUCUGGCAAGUGGGAUGAAUUGUAUGGUAAGAAGAGAAAAAAAGAUCUAUUUUCUAGCCAAAGCACUCUGUCACAAAUGUAGAUGGUUGGCAAUGUGCAUGGUUGGCAAACCAUUUCAUCAGUGUGCUCUGCACACAAUGAGCUCAUAAUUUGUGAUACAGUGGGAAGCAAUCAUUUCAAACAGGCUGAGAGAGCUGGGGCUCUUCAGCCUGAAGAAGAGAAGGCUUCAAGGGGACCUUACAGUGACCUUCCAGUACCUGAAGGAGGCCUAUGGGAAAGCUGGGGAGGGACUUUUUAGAAGGGCACAUAGUGACAGGAUGAGGGAAAAUGGUUUUAAACUGGAAGAGGGUAAGUUUAGACUAGCUACUGGAAAGAAAUUCUUUACUAUGAAGGUGGUGAGACACUGGAACAGGUUUCCUGGGAAGGGUGUGAAUGUCCCCUCCCUGGAAGCAUUCAAGGCCAGACUGGAUGGGACUUUGAGCAUCCUGGCCUAGUGGGAGGUGUCCCUGCCUAUAGCAGGGGAUUGGAACCAGAUCAUCUUAAAGGUCCCUUCCAACUCAAACCAUUCUAUGAUUCUAUGAUAAUUUUAGGAGAAAUAAGGAGGACACUUUCAGAUACAGCUGAUAGCCUUCACUUUCAGAUAGACUUCACCAGGAUGGCAAAAGCAGCUCCAGCUUCCUCUUGAAUUUUACUUUUCCUGGAAAAAUAUCUUAUAUUGUUGGCCAGUCUUCCUGCCCCAUGAAAGGGGACCUGGUUGGGAAAAGUCAGCGUCUCCCUUAUUCCUCUAAGGAUUAUUACUGGAGGAAGGAUAUGACAGGAAAACCCUGGGUUCCCAUAGAGCAAAUUCAUCAUCUCUAAAAUUGGUCCUGGAUGUUCCUUCACCAGGCCUCCUCCUGUUAAAUGAAAACUAAUGGAAGAAUGCUAAGAUGGGCAUCCUUCUUUUGAAUUGAUAGCUGACAGAGAUUUAGAUUCUUAUCACCUUAGAAUUUCUAGGAUGGAGAAAAAUGCUAUUAGGAAAGUUGGAGAACUAAAGCUAUAUAUAUUUGGAGAUGAAAAAUAUGUUUGUAAUUAAGAGAUAAAUGAAUGUUGGAAGAACUGAUGAUGCUAGAAAUGGUAGUAGAGUUCUGGGAAUGGGAUACUGAACCAUCUGGGGGACCUGGGACCAGGGUGACCCUCUAGGGGACCAGGUGCUCUGGGGCUGAAAAUUGAUGGGAAGCUUGAAGAUAGAUCAACUUCAUAUAGUUAUUUUUAAAGUAGCGAGCUGAAAUAUACUCUUAUUUUUUGAAUAAAUCUUAUGAUUUUGCAUACCAGGGUUGCAAUUAUUGAUUCUUUGUAACUGUCAACACUGCAUGCAGUACAUAAACACAAAUGUGAUAUAGCUUUUUGUAUGUGAGGAAGGAAGAACACUAAAACGUCUCCCAGAGCAUUUACAACACUUAUGAAUUAUUUUUUUCCACUCUCCCGGGAACUAAGUUUAUGAAGAAGAAUAGUCCAUCAAAAAACAUUUUCAGGAAAACUCCACCAAAAGCUUGAGCUGGUUAAGGGAUUUUCUGUUCUUG
rnacentral:lncRNA from 1 species